GAGGGUAUAGCUCUGUGAUUGAGUGCGUGCUUAGCAUGCUUGAGGCCCUGAGCUUAGCAUGCAACAAGGUCCUGGGUUCAAUCCCCAGUACCUCCA
rnacentral:tRNA from 1 species